rnacentral:rRNA from 1 species
GGCACUACGGUGCUGAAGCAACAAAUGCCCUGCUUCCAGGAAAAGCCUCUAAGCAUCAGGUAACAUCAAAUCGUACCCCAAACCGACACAGGUGGUCAGGUAGAGAAUACCAAGGCGCUUGAGAGAACUCGGGUGAAGGAACUAGGCAAAAUGGUGCCGUAACUUCGGGAGAAGGCACGCUGAUAUGUAGGUGAAGUCCCUCGCGGAUGGAGCUGAAAUCAGUCGAAGAUACCAGCUGGCUGCAACUGUUUAUUAAAAACACAGCACUGUGCAAACACGAAAGUGGACGUAUACGGUGUGACGCCUGCCCGGUGCCGGAAGGUUAAUUGAUGGGGUUAGCGCAAGCGAAGCUCUUGAUCGAAGCCCCGGUAAACGGCGGCCGUAACUAUAACGGUCCUAAGGUAGCGAAAUUCCUUGUCGGGUAAGUUCCGACCUGCACGAAUGGCGUAAUGAUGGCCAGGCUGUCUCCACCCGAGACUCAGUGAAAUUGAACUCGCUGUGAAGAUGCAGUGUACCCGCGGCAAGACGGAAAGACCCCGUGAACCUUUACUAUAGCUUGACACUGAACAUUGAGCCUUGAUGUGUAGGAUAGGUGGGAGGCUUUGAAGUGUGGACGCCAGUCUGCAUGGAGCCGACCUUGAAAUACCACCCUUUAAUGUUUGAUGUUCUAACGUUGACCCGUAAUCCGGGUUGCGGACAGUGUCUGGUGGGUAGUUUGACUGGGGCGGUCUCCUCCUAAAGAGUAACGGAGGAGCACGAAGGUUGGCUAAUCCUGGUCGGACAUCAGGAGGUUAGUGCAAUGGCAUAAGCCAGCUUGACUGCGAGCGUGACGGCGCGAGCAGGUGCGAAAGCAGGUCAUAGUGAUCCGGUGGUUCUGAAUGGAAGGGCCAUCGCUCAACGGAUAAAAGGUACUCCGGGGAUAACAGGCUGAUACCGCCCAAGAGUUCAUAUCGACGGCGGUGUUUGGCACCUCGAUGUCGGCUCAUCACAUCCUGGGGCUGAAGUAGGUCCCAAGGGUAUGGCUGUUCGCCAUUUAAAGUGGUACGCGAGCUGGGUUUAGAACGUCGUGAGACAGUUCGGUCCCUAUCUGCCGUGGGCGCUGGAGAACUGAGGGGGGCUGCUCCUAGUACGAGAGGACCGGAGUGGACGCAUCACUGGUGUUCGGGUUGUCAUGCCAAUGGCACUGCCCGGUAGCUAAAUGCGGAAGAGAUAAGUGCUGAAAGCAUCUAAGCACGAAACUUGCCCCGAGAUGAGUUCUCCCUGACUCCUUGAGAGUCCUGAAGGAACGUUGAAGACGACGACGUUGAUAGGCCGGGUGUGUAAGCGCAGCGAUGCGUUGAGCUAACCGGUACUAAUGAACCGUGAGG